UACGUAGGGUGCGAGCGUUAAUCGGAAUUACUGGGCGUAAAGCGUGCGCAGGCGGUUUUGUAAGCCAGAUGUGAAAGCCCCGGGCUCAACCUGGGAAUGGCAUUUGGACUGCAAGGCUGGAGUUUGGCAGAGGAGACUGGAAUUCCUGGUGUAGCAGUGAAAUGCGUAGAUAUCAGGAGGAAUACCGAUGGCGAAGGCAGGUCUCUGGGCUAUAACUGACGCUCAUGCACGAAAGCGUGGGAGCAACAGG
rnacentral:rRNA from 1 species